AUUGAACGCUGGCGGCAGGCCUAACACAUGCAAGUCGAGCGGUAGAGAGAAGCUUGCUUCUCUUGAGAGCGGCGGACGGGUGAGUAAUGCCUAGGAAUCUGCCUAGUGUGGGGAUAACGUUCGGAAACGGACGCUAAUACCGCAUACGUCCUACGGGAGAAAGUGGGGGAUCUUCGGACCUCGCGCCAUUAGAUGAGCCUAGGUCGGAUUAGCUAGUUGGUGAGGUAAUGGCUCACCAAGGCGACGAUCCGUAACUGGUCUGAGAGGAUGAUCAGUCACACUGGAACUGAGACACGGUCCA
rnacentral:rRNA from 1 species